AAAAGUGAAAGACGGUCUUGCUGUCACUUAUAGAUGGAUCCGCGCUGCAUUAGCUAGUUGGUAAGGUAACGGCUUACCAAGGCAACGAUGCAUAGCCGACCUGAGAGGGUGAUCGGCCACACUGGAACUGAGACACGGUCCAGACUCCUACGGGAGGCAGCAGUAGGGAAUCUUCCGCAAUGGGCGAAAGCCUGACGGAGCAACGCCGCGUGAGUGAUGAAGGUCUUCGGAUCGUAAAACUCUGUUAUUAGGGAAGAACAUAUGUGUAAGUAACUGUGCACAUCUUGACGGUACCUAAUCAGAAAGCCACGGCUAACUACGUGCCAGCAGCCGCGGUAAUACGUAGGUGGCAAGCGUUAUCCGGAAUUAUUGGGCGUAAAGCGCGCGUAGGCGGUUUUUUAAGUCUGAUGUGAAAGCCCACGGCUCAACCGUGGAGGGUCAUUGGAAACUGGAAAACUUGAGUGCAGAAGAGGAAAGUGGAAUUCCAUGUGUAGCGGUGAAAUGCGCAGAGAUAUGGAGGAACACCAGUGGCGAAGGCGACUUUCUGGUCUGUAACUGACGCUGAUGUGCGAAAGCGUGGGGAUCAAACAGGAUUAGAUACCCUGGUAGUCCACGCCGUAAACGAUGAGUGCUAAGUGUUAGGGGGUUUCCGCCCCUUAGUGCUGCAGCUAACGCAUUAAGCACUCCGCCUGGGGAGUACGACCGCAAGGUUGAAACUCAAAGGAAUUGACGGGGACCCGCACAAGCGGUG
rnacentral:rRNA from 1 species